rnacentral:rRNA from 1 species
UACGUAGGGUGCAAGCGUUGUCCGGAAUUAUUGGGCGUAAAGAGCUCGUAGGCGGUCUGUCGCGUCGGCUGUGAAAUCCCGAGGCUCAACCUCGGGUCUGCAGUCGAUACGGGCAAACUUGAGUGUUGCAGGGGAGACUGGAAUUCCUGGUGUAGCGGUGAAAUGCGUAGAUAUCAAGAGGAACACCUGCGGCGAAGGCGGGUUGCUGGGCCGACACUGACGCUGAAGCGCGAAAGCCAGGGGAGCGAACGGG